CCCAGCUAGCAAAAAAUAUCCGCACGGCUUCUUUUUGCCGCCGGCCCUAAGCUGUCGGCUAUAGGUGCGUCCCGCUGGCGGGGAUGAAACGUUUGCCGCCGAAUACGUCACUCCCAUUUCUUGCGAGAUGCCGCCGGCGAAAAGCCGGCGGGCCGACUGCUUCAUUUUCUUUGGCGGUUGCCUCCGUCUAAUGGACCGCGGCCGGCUGGCGGCAAGCCGCUUUAAAAUACAAGGAUUUCUACUAAAAUCGACCAGCAGCCAAGGCUAUGUUUAGCAUGUUGGGAGUUAGAAUGGAAGUGGAACUGACAGCAUUUUAACUACUUUUCACAUCUGAAGCGAUUAUAAAAUCAUAAUAGCCUAUAUGUGAAUUAAAUCCCAUAUUAUUAUUAUUAUUAUCAUUAUUUUUAAAGCCAUUAGGGUUUAUUCUUGACUCUUGAUUCCAUGAUAAGGUAAGGUUUAGGAAAUGACAUUUAAAUUUAAAAUAGAUUUAAAAUAGAUAUUUAAUUCAUGGUAUAAACAAUUUAGCUGAAUAAAUUGAUGAAGUUAGACUUUUCACUAAUGCAUGGCUACAUCAGUGAACAGUGAAAGACAUCUGCAACAUGGCCAAAAUCUUGGGUAGGUCUAUACUUUAUAAUUUUUUAUUAAUUUGCAACCAUGGUAAUAGCCUAUCAUAAACAGGAAAAUGUCUGUUUUGACCUGAUAAGAAGGAUAAACUAAAAUCUAAAAGCUCCUCUGGUUUCACAGCUGCACUGGCAGAUUUAUGAAAUAUUUAGAAAUAUUUCGUCUUUCUGCCAUUCCAGGAAAUGUCAUUUUAUGUCUUUCAUUUUUUUUCAACCUCGAUUUAUUUUUUUAUUUUUUUUGACUUUUUACAUGUAUAAGGGAUUAAUUUGCAAUUGCGACCUGUACAAAUGUUUAAGACAGUGUCUUAAAAAAAAAUCUAAACACAUUAUAAAUGUUAGAAAUGUAUAGGUUUUCACCAUUGCUGUGUUCAGGAUUUUUUUUGGGCGGAGCUAAAACGGUGGCUCGAUGACGCACUGGAGCCACUGAGCUCCUGGCCCCUCCCCAAACAACAUAACUAGAGCACACAUUCGCAUCAGUUCGCCGCUCAAUCGCGAGUUUCUGUGGACUACCAUCGUUUAAAUACCUUGACCGGAGCAUAACUGGUUAACUUCACACAAGAGACCUACUGUUGGACAAUUGUUUUGGCUUUAAAGGAGAAAGUCAUCGCUCUGUAAUUGGCCCUUGGACUCCCCUGGCAUCUCGUGUACAGCAUGAAGUUUUCAGCUAUGAAGAUUUCCAGAGACUCCAGAAUUAAAAACAAGCCGUGAUGGAGGAGAACCAAGCCCUUAGGGAGGAGAACCAAGCCCUGAGGGAGGAGAACCAAGCCCUGAUGGAUGAGAACCAAGCCCUUAGGGAGGAGAACCAAGCUCUGAGGGAAAGCACUGCACGAGCAGCUUCGGAUGACAGCGGCUCACUUCAAGAGCAGGUGAAGCAAGUUGGGACAAUGUUGAAGACGUUUGCUCGCACUGGGCAAUCAGGUGCAGAUCAGACCUUAAUGCUGCGACGUCUUGGAGAGUUUGCCGAUGUUGUGCGAAGCAUGGACAACAAAAUGGACACUAUGCUGCAACAUUUCAGUGCCAAUGUGUCUGUUGGAGAGUUAUCCCUGCCAGGGGAUCUGUUACUCCCUCUAGACACCCAGGAAGAUUUGGCGUUGCUUGACAACAGUUUGAGGCAGGAUAAAGAGCUCCAGGAACGAUUUCUUCGGUUUUUGGCAAUCAAAUGUGGGAGGGACCUAUAAGACAACCGUCUGGCGGAUGCUUCAAAGUACCUUCUCUAAUCACCUUUCCAUCAAUACAACCUGGACUGGAGUUGGGGAUAAAGCAUGUUUUAGAGACAUGUUCCUGAAGACCAUUGUUCAAAGUAAGUUGGAUGUAAAAAAAAAAAAUGUUUAGUAGAUGUGUAUGGCAUUAUGCCAUUCAAAUGGAAUGACAGAUCUGUAUUUUCUACAGGAGCCAUCCGGAAGAACCCGGCAACACAGGAUGCCACUGAUGAAGCCGUCCAGGUUAACGUUACGCGUUACCUGAAAGGAGCAUCUGACCGUGAAGGCGGAAAAAGGUGCCGCACAGCUGAGAGGGACCCACAGCCGACCCCUUAAACCUAGGCUGACUACUGACACCCCAGCAUCACUGACAACUGGAACCCUUUCUUUAUCCUGCAGUCAGUAACAUCAAGACCCCUAAAGAAGCCAGAAGUGUCAGACUGCACUCCCCAAUCCACACUGUUCACUGUGGAUAUUAUCAUAGUGCUUAACUCUUAUUAUAUUGUUAAAUAUAGCUUGUAAAUCCUUGUGCCACAGGUCAGCAUUGCAGUUAUAUCUGUUCUACUACUUUUUUUACCUCAGUAUUUUUUAUAUAUAUGUGAAGAUGUUUAUCACAGAUACAAGAGACAUCUUGUACCCCAGGUCAGCAAUGCCAAUAUAAUGGUCUAUUCUACUCCAGAGCUUUAUUCUAAAUUAUUACCACUUAUCUUAUUGUUAGAAAUGGCUUGUAAAUGUGAUGUUAUACCUGAAUUUUUUUUGGUGUCCUGCACAUUCUUUGGUACCAGAUAUACUCAUUACUUAUGUUUACUGGUAAUUCUUUUCAUCCCAGAGCUGACCUCUUUAUAUUAUUAACAAUUAUUGUAAGUGUUAUAAUUUGCUUGUAAGCUAAGGCUGUUUUUUUUUUUUUUAACAAUUUAAUUGGAAACCUGCAUGUUCUUUUGUGUGUGUGUGUAUAUAUUUUUUUCUCUUUUUUUCUGUUAUUUAUAUUUCAGGGAUCUGACAUCAUGUUUCAAUGACAGUUACUGUACUUUGAAAUGUGGAAUUAAAACGUCAAAUGGAAAUUUGUCUGGUUUGAUCAAUCAUUAUUCUUGAUAAACUGCAUGAUAUAUAUAUAUAUAUAAGCGGCGACCGAUCGCUCGAAAAUAGCGUUUGCCUCCGACGGGCCGCGGAAGGGUCGCCUUUGAUAUAACGGCGGCGGGACGGCGGUUGGCCCGCGGGCCGGCCGCGGAACGAAGGCGGUAGGAAGGCGGCUGCCGCUUCUAAAAAGCGGCUGCCGCCGGCGGUGCACCGUCAAACGUGUUUGCGAUUACGCCAUUCUGACGCUUCUACUGCCGCCGGAGCGCCGCCGGUGGUCCGCCGACUCAUUGCUAUCUGGG
ensembl:lncRNA